AGAGGGUGCGAGCGUUAAUCGGAAUUACUGGGCGUAAAGAGCGCGUAGGUGGAUGGAUAAGUCAGUGGUGAAAGCCCUCGGCUCAACCGAGGAAUUGCCUCUGAUACUGUCUGUCUUGAGUAUGGUAGAGGAUAGUGGAAUUUCCGGUGUAGCGGUGAAAUGCGUAGAUAUCGGAAAGAACACCAGUGGCGAAGGCGGCUAUCUGGACCAAUACUGACACUGAGGCGCGAAAGCGUGGGGGGAGCGAACAGGAUUAGAUACCCUGGUAGUCCACGCCCGUAAACGAUGAGAACUAGCUGUUGGGUAGCUUGGCUACUUAGUGGCGCAGCUAACGCGAUAAGUUCUCCGCCUGGGGAGUACGGCCGCAAGGUUA
rnacentral:rRNA from 1 species